GAAAACUUUGACACAUUUAGAAUUUUUAAAACAUUACAAGGUUCAUUAACUAAUGUCUAUGUGGGCUGAAUUAUCCAAAAGAGGAUAAUAAAAUGAAAUCCUUAAAAAAAAGGGAUGGAUAUUUGGACACUCUCAUUAGUUUGCACUAAUUUAUAAUGAAACAAGUCUCUUCUCAUAGGAAGGGACAAGCUUCCUGAUAGGCAGUUUGAUGCUAGAUGGUGAUUGCAGUUAUGCUUGUGAUGUCUUGUGCUUUCCUUUUUUAUUUAAAGAUCUAAUUCUUAAAGAUUUUAGAGCUUAUAUUUACUUGAAUAAUUGAUAUUUUCCUUGUGAGAGAUAAUUAAUAUUUGAUUAGUUAGAAUUAAUGAAAAGUUAAGGGAAAACAGGGUAUUCUUAGAUUAAAUAAUUUAUGUAAACAAAGCCUAUUUCAACUAAUAUGACCAGAGGAGCCUUUUGAGAUUCACUGAUAUUAAACACAAGUAGUGAAACUUUAAAUGGUUAACGAAGUUAAGAACUUGAACAACUCUUUUGGUACGACAGCAUUUCUGUGCCCUAAAGUACGUCAUGAUUUAGAAAUAGGCCAUAUAUACACUACAAUAUAACUGUAUGAAUUUUACUUCUCUGGGGAUAUCUUUAUACUGCAAUAUGUGUGGAUUUAUAAGCAUC
rnacentral:lncRNA from 1 species